rnacentral:rRNA from 1 species
AUUGAACGCUGGCGGCAGGCCUAACACAUGCAAGUCGAGCGGAUGAAUGGAGCUUGCUCCUGGAUUCAGCGGCGGACGGGUGAGUAAUGCCUAUGAAUCUGCCUGGUAGUGGGGGAUAACGUCCGGAUACGGGCGCUAAUACCGCAUACGUCCUGAGGGAGAAAGUGGGGGAUCUUCGGACCUCACGCUAUCAGAUGAGCCUAGGUCGGAUUAGCUAGUUGGUGGGGUAAAGGCCUACCAAGGCGACGAUCCGUAACUGGUCUGAGAGGAUGAGCAGUCACACGGGAACUGAGACACGGCCCAGACUCCUGCGGGAGGCCGCAGUGGGGAAUAUUGGACAAUGGGCGAAAGCCUGAUCCAGCCAUGCCGCGUGUGUGAAGAAGGUCUUCGGAUUGUAAAGCACUUUAAGUUGGGAGGAAGGGCAGUAAGUUAAUACCUUGCUGUUUUGACGUUACCAACAGAAUAAGCACCGGCUAACUUCGUG